rnacentral:rRNA from 1 species
UGCCUAACACAUGCAAGUCGAACGAAGGCUUCGGCCUUAGUGGCGCACGGGUGCGUAACGCGUGGGAAUCUGCCCUUUGGUUCGGAAUAACAGCUGGAAACGGCUGCUAAUACCGGAUGAUGACGAAAGUCCAAAGAUUUAUCGCCAGAGGAUGAGCCCGCGUUGGAUUAGGUAGUUGGUGGGGUAAAGGCCUACCAAGCCGACGAUCCAUAGCUGGUCUGAGAGGAUGAUCAGCCACACUGGGACUGAGACACGGACCAGACUCC